AUUGAACGCUGGCGGCAGGCCUAACACAUGCAAGUCGAACGCGUGGCGGACGGGUGAGUAAUGUCUGGGAAACUGCCCGAUGGCGGGGGAUAACUACUGGAAACGGUAGCUAAUACCGCAUACCAUCGGAUGUGCCCAGAUGGGAUUAGCUAGUAGGUGGGGUAAGGGCUCACCUGGGCCACGAUCCCUAGUUGGUCUGAGAGGGUGACCAGCCAACCUGGAACUGAGACACGGUCCAGACUCCUACGGGAGGCAGCAGUGGGGAAUCUUGCACAAUGGGCGCAAGCCUGAUGGAGCCAUGCCGCGUGUAUGAAGAAGGCCUUCGGGUUGUAAAGUACUUUCAGCGAGGAGGCGUUACUCGCAGAAGAAGCACCGGCUAACUCCGUGCCAGCAGCCGCGGUAAUAC
rnacentral:rRNA from 1 species